UAAGCUGCAGCUCAGUGGUAGAGCAUCUGCUUUACAUGCAGAAGGUCCCAGGUUCAAGCCCUUACAUCUUAA
rnacentral:tRNA from 1 species